UUCGGUCUCAUAAGAGUCAAAAGAAAUAUCCACGUCGCCGCCGCCGCCGCUUGGCGUCUAUAGUUAGGGCAAAUCACGCGGUGUUUAAGAGACGGAAGUGCACUUAAAUCACAACCCAAGAGCUGGAAGGAGCCAAGGAGAUACCAUCCUAAGAGCCCAAGAACACUCCCCCAGAGCUCCAAAGCCCGACGUGAGUCAGUUUCCAUGACUGAGAAUGGACUCAAACCUGAAUUCCCCCCCCCGCCCCCCCGUCCUACUCCAAUAACAUGAGUUAUGAAAUGAGACUUAUGUUUUUUAUGCGAGGCUGAAAGGUGA